UACGAAGGGGGCUAGCGUUGCUCGGAAUCACUGGGCGUAAAGGGUGCGUAGGCGGGUCUUUAAGUCAGGGGUGAAAUCCUGGAGCUCAACUCCAGAACUGCCUUUGAUACUGAAGAUCUUGAGUUCGGGAGAGGUGAGUGGAACUGCGAGUGUAGAGGUGAAAUUCGUAGAUAUUGGGAAGAACACCAGUGGCGAAGGCGGCUCACUGGCCCAUAACUGACGCUGAGGCACGAAAGCGUGGGGAGCAAACAGG
rnacentral:rRNA from 1 species